ACCAGCAGGACAUCAUGGGAAUGAGGCUCUGUGGCUUCGGAGGCUAGUUUAUUAAAGACCUUGCCACUUCAGCCUUGCCCUCUUAGGGCAUUUGCUCUGGAGGAGCUGCUGCCAUGUCAUGAUGGCACUCGAGCAGCCUUGGGAGUUCCUCAUGGAGAGGCAGAGACCUCCUGGCAACAACCAGCAUCAGCUGGCUAGCUGCACAGCAGACUCUUCUUGAGAGCAGACUCCAGCUCCAGUAAAGCCUUCAGACUACGGCAACCCUGGCUGUCAUCUUGACAUCUUGUCAUCUCAUUAGAGAUCCUAAGCCAGAGCCACCAGGUAGGCUGCUGCUGCUCCUGGAUUCCUGGCCAAGGACAUUUUUAUUAUUUUAAGUUGGCUAAGUUUUGGGCAAUUUGUUAUACAUCGGUAGACAACUAAUACAUUAACCAUUAAUAUCGCCUCAAGGAUCUAAUUAGCCAGUCUCUUAGCAAGAGCCCAGAAAGGCAUAUUUUUUAUGGAAGAAAAAGUUCUUGGGAAGAAGGAAGGAACAGACACUACUGAACACCUUCUAUGUGAAAUGUCUAUGACUGGGAGAAAAUCUGGCCAGUGAAAAAUUUGAAUCAGACAAAAGUGGGCCACUUAAUUCUGCAUGAAUACACUUGAGAGCGAAUAUGUUCUGAUUCUCCAAGCAAGAUGGCUCUUCACAAUACUUGGCUUUGUUAAAACCAUGUCUGCUGACACUUGGACUCUCUCCAGUUACCUGGCAUCUGAAAUUAUACCUUUAGUGAUUCACUCCUUUGAACUAAACACAGAUGUCUUCAGAAAUAACAAGUUUAGCUGACUAAAAAGACCAGGUGUCUAAUCGACUUGGCUGGUUGUACUGACAGAUAUUUGAUAUGACAUCAAUUGACUAAACUGACGGGAAUUUGAAUGAGUACAGUCAAAAUGUUUGAAUCCAUCAUCGGGGAGUGUCAACCAAUUUUUGCUCUGGAGAAAGCACUCAAGUGUCUGCAUUUUACCAUGAGGAAGUACAAGCUGUUUGGCCUCAAGAAAUAGAAAGUGAUCCAAGAGAAGACUCCUUUGAAAGAACCUGAGUGAUUUUUUGUGUGUGUGCCUUCUGAUCUUUUGCAAGAACCUAAGUGUGUUUGGGAAAGACCAGCUUAUGUGCCCAUUACAGUUACUUGGUCUCCAGGGAAGGCAGAUGCAGCAGAAGUGAGUCUGGGCAGAUAUGUUUUUCAUAUUAUGCUAGAGACCUUACACUUAUCCUGUUCCUGAGGUUUCCAGGGCCAGACCAUGCAAAAGCAGAGCAGUAGGUAUAAAGGGUUUUCAGGUUUCCAUAAUCCAUGUUCCUGCCACCCGACCCUGCCUCAGAUUCUUUCUUCCACCUUUGUCCUCCCUCAUCAGGGUGUUCAACUCUCCUACUGCCCCUCUCUGGGGAAAAUAGUCUCUACUCCCCUUAAGGAAUAGGUGACAAAUCCCACUACUCACUAAGCCUCCCCAAGAGAGACGACGUUGGCCAGGGACUGACAUUUUAGUUGAACACUUACUAUGUCCCAGGAACUGUGCUGAGUACUUUACACAUGUUCCUAACAACUACUAACCAUUCCAUGGCUCAUUUAUGGUCUUUUGACAGUUCAUGAAAUAACUCUCUUGGCUGAAGUUGAGAGCUGAGGUUCUGCAAAAUUUCCAGAUAUGUUUGACUUGCUCUAGGCAGUGAACUGGAUCCCAGAGAUGUGGGGUCUUGGGUACCAUGCGCAGCCACACAUAGCCACACACACCCUGGCACACCCUCAGCCAGCAUCAGUUACUGCAGUGGCCGACGCAGAGGCUCUGAUGGUUCAGACCUUUCAACCCAUUUUGCCAAACCAGGAACUUCUCUGAUAAGACCAAAAGAAAGCUCCUGAGCUUGUCUGAGGAAGCACAUGUCACUCGAGGUCAGCAGAAGAGACCUAAAAGUUGAGGGUUGCCAAGGCUUUUUCUUGUCUUACUAUAGAUUUGGGUCCCUUAAGUCAAAGCUUACAAAUGGGUCAGUCUGAUGAGAUCAUUUGAGGAAAAGACUUUUUUUUAAAAAAGAUUUUUAUUUAUUUGAGAGAGAGAGCAGAGAGAAAGAGCACGAGUUAGUGCAUGAGCAG